AUUGAACGCUGGCGGCAGGCCUAACACAUGCAAGUCGAACGAGUGGCAGACGGGUGAGACAUGUCUGGGAAACUGCCAGAUGGCGGGGGAAAACUCGGGGAACCGGUAGCUAAUACCGCAAACCAUCAGAUGUUCCAUGAGUGGAUUAGCUAGUUGGUGGGGUAACGGCUCACCAAGGCGACGAUCCCUAGCUGGUCUGAGAGGAUGACCGGCCACACUGGAACUGAGACACGGUCCAGACUCCUACGGGAGGCAGCAGUGGGGAAUAUUGCACAAUGGGCGCAAGCCUGAUGCAGCCAUGCCGCGUGUAUGAAGAAGGCCUUCGGGUUGUAAAGUACUUUCAGCGGGGAGGCGUUACCCGAAGAAGAAGCACCGGCUAACUCCGUGCCAGCAGCCGCGGUAAUUC
rnacentral:rRNA from 1 species